rnacentral:rRNA from 1 species
UACGGGGGGGGCUAGCGUUGUUCGGAAUUACUGGGCGUAAAGAGCUCGUAGGCGGUCUGUCGCGUCUGCUGUGAAAACUCGGGGCUUAACCCCGGGCCUGCAGUGGGUACGGGCAGACUAGAGUGCGGUAGGGGAGACUGGAAUUCCUGGUGUAGCGGUGAAAUGCGCAGAUAUCAGGAGGAACACCGGUGGCGAAGGCGGGUCUCUGGGCCGAUACUGACGCUGAGGAGCGAAAGCGUGGGGAGCGAACAGG